AUAUUAGACGAAAUUGGGAACAUCCCAUAAUAAUUAUAUAUUCUCGUCGAGAAUAUAUAACGUCAAUGGUUCGUCGUGUACGAUCCUCUGCGAGUUGUUUAUCUUCACAGCAGAUUACGUGAGUAAGAGUUUGGAGCAUUUGUAAAAUGGGCCAACAUUUUGUUAGUAUU
rnacentral:ncRNA from 1 species